rnacentral:rRNA from 1 species
CAGGCCUAACACAUGCAAGUCGAACGGAGUUCUUCGGAACUUAGUGGCGGACGGGUGAGUAACGCGUGAGAAUCUGGCUUCAGGUUCGGGACAACAGUCGGAAACGAUUGCUAAUACCGGAUGUGCCCUUGGGUGAAAGAUUUAUCACCUGAAGAUGAGCUCGCGUCUGAUUAGCUAGUUGGUGUGGUAAGAGCGCACCAAGGCACCGAUCAGUAGCUGGUCUGAGAGGAUGACCAGCCACACUGGGACUGAGACACGGCCCAGACUCCUACGGGAGGCAGCAGUGGGGAAUUUUGCACAAUGGGCGCAAGCCUGAUGCAGCCAUGCCGCGUGUAUGAAGAAGGCCUUCGGGUUGUAAAGUACUUUCAGCGGGGAGGAAGGCGAUAAGGUUAAUAACCUUGUCGAUUGACGUUACCCGCAGAAGAAGCACCGGCUAACUCCGUGCCAGCAGCCGCGGUAAU